UACUCAACAUACCAUGCGUUCUUCUCAUAUAACUUUUGUAGGUUAAAGAUGAAUCGAAACAAAAGGAACUAAGGGAUAAGUUACUUGAAAAAUGUAAGAAAUUAGUCGAUAUAAGUGGCUUGAUUAAAAAACCGUUAGCAAUUGCGGUAAUUGGAACGCCUGGAGGAGGGAAGUCGUCAUUCCUUAAUACUAUUUUUGCCGAUUUGAGCAAUGAACGGUGGAUAGAACGUGCAAAAUGCGCAGACACUAGUAGAGCAGGCAGACAGAUAACUCAACGACUAAAACGUUUUUUGAAAGAACACUACUACAAUACACAAGAUGAUUAUAUAAUGCCAACAUUUCUGGACAUGACUGGUUUUGAAAAUGAUGACUCACUCUUGACAAAAGAAAUGCUUAACAUAGUUUUUAGUGGCAAAAUGGAAGACGGGGAGAAACUUUCAGACAUGGUUUUAUUUGGUGGAGAAAAGGGCAUUAAUGCUUUAAAAGAAAAAUAUUUAAAAAAAAAGUCUGAGAAUGUAAAUAGACUUAUAGUUGUUUGUUCGGCAAAUCCUGAUUUGGCUUUACCAGAGGCUUUGUUCGAAAAUAUAAUUGAUGUCACGAGCAGAGAUCGAGAUAUUACCGUUUAUGGAGUCUUUACUCAAACAGAUACAUACAGUUCCUAUGAUCCAAAAGUUGUCGAAAAAGAAAGACGAUUCUUGACAAAGUUAGGAAUUUCAGAAACACGAUUUGCUAGGAUAAAGAAUUAUUGUCCGGAUGUUGUCCCGUCCUUGAAGUACAGGGACACGACAGUUCCAUCUUUGGAUAUUCCUGUUUUGCGAUUUUUAGAAGUGGUGCUGACACCAGAGCCCACCGACUAUGUCAAAAACAACUCUUCUGAACCUCAACCUCUUUUAAAGCCAUACAAAGUUGUUGCAUUAAUUGUUUUGUUUGUUGCUAUUGUCGUUGCAUUGAUUGUGAUGUGUAUUUAAAUCUUAAUAUAGUCAUAUAUCUAG